rnacentral:rRNA from 1 species
GACGAACGCUGGCGGCGUGCCUAAUACAUGCAAGUAGAACGCAGUUGCGAACGGGUGAGUAACGCGUAGGUAACUGCCUCAUAGCGGGGGAUAACUAUUGGAAACGAUAGCUAAUACCGCAUACUGGGAGAUGGAACUGCGGUGUAUUAGCUAGUUGGUGAGGUAAAGGCUCACCAAGGCGACGAUACAUAGCCGAGCUGAGAGGGUUAUCGGCCACACUUGGACUGAGACACGGCCCAGGCUCCUACGGUAGGCAGCCGUUGGGAAUCUUUGGCAAUGGGCGGAAGUCUUACCGAGCAACGCCGCGUGAGUGAAGAAGGUUUUCGGGUCGUAAAGCUCUGUUGUUAGAGAAGCGUUAACUACCCAGAAAGGGACGGCUAACUACGUGCCAGCAGCCGCGGUAAUAC